GAGUUUGAUCGUGGCUCAGGACGAACGCUAGCUACAGGCUUAACACAUGCAAGUCGAGGGGCAGCAUGACCUAGCAAUAGGUUGAUGGCGACCGGCGCACGGGUGAGUAACACGUAUCCAACCUACCGGUUAUUCCGGGAUAGCCUUUCGAAAGAAAGAUUAAUACCGGAUAGUAUAACGAGAAGGCAUCUUCUUGUUAUUAAAGAAUUUCGAUAACCGAUGGGGAUGCGUUCCAUUAGUUGUUGGCGGGUAACGGCCCACCAAGACAUCGAUGGAUAGGGGUUCUGAGAGGAAGGUCCCCCACAUUGGAACUGAGACACGGUCCAAACUCCUACGGGAGGCAGCAGUGAGGAAUAUUGGUCAAUGGACGAGAGUCUGAACCAGCCAAGUAGCGUGAAGGAUGACUGCCCUA
rnacentral:rRNA from 1 species